rnacentral:misc_RNA from 1 species
GAUGAAGAACGUAGCGAAAUGCGAUAAGUAAUGUGAAUUGCAGAAUUCAGUGAAUCAUCGAAUCUUUGAACGCACAUUGCGCCCGCCAGUAUUCUGGCGGGCAUGCCUGUUCGAGCGUCAUUUCAACCCUCAGGCCCCCAGUGCCUGGCGUUGGGGAUCGGCGCGGCGCCCUCCGGGGCGCUGCCGGCCCCGAAAUUCAGUGGCGGUCUCGCUGUAGCCCUCCUCCGCGUAGUAGCACAACCUCGCGGCCUGGAGCUCGGCGGUGGCCAUGCCGUAAAACACCCCACUUCUGAAAGUUGACCUCGGAUCAGGUAGGAUUACCCGCUGAACUUAAGCAUAUCAAUAAGCGGAGGA